GGGGAUGUGGCUCAGACGGUAGAGUGCUUGUCUAGCACACACAAAAUCCUGGGUUCCAUUCCCAGCACCA
rnacentral:tRNA from 1 species